GUUCUACCUUGACGAAUUGUAGUUUAAAGAAGUGUUUUCUGUUAGAGGAGCAGCAAAAGUUCCUUGGAAUGGGACAUCAUAGAGGGUGAGAAUCCCGUAUUUGGUUAUUCUUUCUAGCUUUGUGAUACACUUUCAAAGAGUCGGAUUGUUUGGGAAUGCAGUCCAAAAUGGGUGGUAAAUUUCAUCUAAAGCUAAAUAUUGGCGAGAGACCGAUAGCGAACAAGUACCGUGAGGGAAAGAUGAAAAGAACUUUGAAAAGAGAGUUAAACAGUACGUGAAAUUGUCAAAAGGGAAGCGUUUGACACCAGUGUUGUUUUUCCGAAAAUCAAUUAAGAAGGGCUUGAUUUUGUGUUGUAUUGACCUUAUCAGCUUUCUUCACUCUUUUUCGAGUCUCUCUU
rnacentral:rRNA from 1 species